rnacentral:rRNA from 1 species
CCUACGGGUGGCAGCAGUGAGGAAUAUUGGUCAAUGGGCGCAAGCCUGAACCAGCCAAGUAGCGUGAAGGAUGACUGCCCUACGGAUUGUAAACUUCUUUUAUCAAGGGAUAAAGUGAGGCACGUGAGCCUUAUUGUGUGUACUUGAUGAAUAAGGAUCGGCUAACUCCGUGCCAGCAGCCGCGGUAAUACGGAGGAUGCGAGCGUUAUCCGGAUUUAUUGGGUUUAAAGGGAGCGUAGAUGGGUUGUUAAGUCAGUUGUGAAAGUUUGCGGCUCAACCGUAAGAUUGCAAUUGAUACUGGCAGUCUUGAGUACAGGUGAGGUAGGCGGAAUUCGUGGUGUAGCGGUGAAAUGCUUAGAUAUUACGAAGAACUCCGAUUGCGAAGGCAGCUUACUAACCUGCCACUGACAUUGAGGCUCGAAAGUGUGGGUAUCAAACAGGAUUAGAUACCCCAGUAGUC